GCUAACUCCGUGCCAGCAGCUGCGGUAAUACGGAGGGUGCAAGCAUUAAUCGGAUUUACUGGGCGUAAAGGGCGCGUAGGCGGGAGAGAAAGUCAAAUGUGAAAUUCCGGUGCUCAACAUCGGAACUGCAUUUGAAACUUCUUUUCUUGAGGGUAGACGGAGAAAGCGGAAUUCCACAUGUAGCGGUGAAAUGCGUAGAUAUGUGGAAGAACACCUGUGGCGAAAGCGGCUUUCUAGUUUAUACCUGACGCUGAGGCGCGAGAGUGAGGGGAGCAAACAGGAUUAGAUACCCUGGUAGUC
rnacentral:rRNA from 1 species